AAAACUUUCAACAACGGAUCUCUGGUUCUCGCAUCAAUCAAGAACGCAGCGAUCUGCGNAUACGUAAUGUGAAUUGCAGAAUUCCGUGAAUCAUCGAAUCUUUGAACGCACAUUGCGCCCCUUGGUAUUCCGGGGGGCAUGCCUGUUUGAGCGUCAU
rnacentral:rRNA from 1 species